rnacentral:rRNA from 1 species
CCUACGGGUGGCAGCAGUGGGGGAUAUUGCACAAUGGGGGAAACCCUGAUGCAGCGACGCCGCGUGGGUGAAGAAGCGCCUCGGCGCGUAAAGCUCUGUCAGCAGGGAAGAAAAUGACGGUACCUAUAGAAGAAGCCCUGGCCAACUACGUGCCAGCAGCCGCGGGAAUACGUAGGGGGCACACGUUAUCCGGAUUUGCUGGGUGUAAGGGGGGCGCAGACGGCGUUGCAAGUCAGGUGUGAAAGCCCGGGGCCCAACCCCGGGACUGCUCUUGGAACUGGGUGGCUAGAGUGCAGGAGGGGCAGGCGGAAUUCCUGGUGUAGCGGUGAAAUGCGUAGAUAUCAGGAGGAACACCGGUGGCGAAGGCGGCCUGCUGGACUGCAACUGACGUUGAGGCCCGAAAGCGUGGGGAGCAAACAGGAUUAGAUACCCGAGUAGUC